UGAGUUCUCGAGAGAAUUUGACAGGGGCGCUGGCCAAGAAGACGAGAGACCUGCCCAUGUUUCUGUGCCGGCUGCGUCGAGCAGUUGUCGUCGAAUGUAGUUGGUGACUUCGAUCGUCUUCUUACGGUGGUUGGAGGCCUGGCUAUGGCUGGAAUCUAGGACUGCGCACUUGCGCCACAGAUUCCUUCAGUACGCAUUUCGGAUUUGAACGCUGUUUUCGACUGCUUGAUGCCCCAAAGCAAGAGCUUCUUGACAAGACAGAGAGAGAGAGAUGCUGGGUUUUGGAGAAAAGGUGGUAACGAUCGUGGCCGUGCUAGUGAUGUUAGGGGUGAGAGGUUCAGGGGCCGAAGGGAGAAAACCAGUGCUCCAUAGGGUUGGAGGAGGACAGAACACAUGGACACCGAGCGUUAACUUCACCAACUGGUCAAGUCAUGAGCAGUUUUAUGUGGGUGAUUGGCUCUACUUUGGAUUCGACAAGACUCAAUACAACGUCCUAGAGGUGAACGAGACGAGCUAUGACAAGUGCAUCGACACAGACUUCAUCACAAACGUUACCAAGGGCGGUCGC